rnacentral:lncRNA from 1 species
UGUACACAGACUUAGGGGACCAUUGUUUGGAUGAAGCCUGCAACCUUUUUUCUGUAGCAGUUCCUCAGCAACUGGUGCUCAGUGGCAUACUGCCUAUGAACCAGGAGUGUACCACAAAAUUAAUCUGGAUAUCUUUUAAGAGGGCAGUAAAAAAGCAACUAACGCCUGAAUUCUAUCAGCAACUCAUGGCUUAAACCAAUACUGUUUACAUAUCUCAGAAUUAUAUCAGUUAAGCCUAUGCACUACCACACAGGAUUUUUCCAAGUUCUCAAAGGUAUUAAAACUUUCAAUUUACUUUGCUCCCUUGCCAUCCUAUAAUAACAAAUUUGUUUGCAGUCUGACUGAACUAAAAGCAUAAUAUCCCUUAGUCAUCUGACAAACUGUCCUUAUUUCUCUCUCCCAGGUAGACCAUUUUGUGAUAAAUGGUUUUGAGGGCUCAUACUAUAUGCAAUAUUUACACAUUUUUAAAAUAAUGAAACCAUUGAAAAGUAGGUGUUUCUAAAAUAAAACCCAGUCUUAAUUGCAUUCUGCAACAUUUCAGGAAAUUCAAAAGUACCCAUUCAUUGGAUUUCUGAAUGUCCAUUGAGCUACUGAACAGUCCUUGACUGCUUUGAACCCAGCAAUCUUCAGCUGAUCCAGACCCAGAACCCACCUCGGACACCCAACCUACAACAUAGAACUUUCACUUUCAAUUACUACUAAUAACACACAUUGCUAAUCCUAAAAUGGCAGUUAAGAGGAAUACUGUAUACAUAGCGUUACCUUGGUACUACUAUUACCAGGGAUAUUUUGCCCCUUAUGUCACCUUUCCUGUGUAUAUAACGGGAUACAUAAUCAAAGGAACGGGGGAGGACAGGCAAAGCCCGCCUUGGGAAGCAGUCUCUGUGCCACAAAUUAUUUUUGUCCAGUAGAAGUGUUGCCUAUCUAACCCUCUUUCUGGUACUGCAGCGCAGCAGCACAGGCAGCUAGCUUCCUUGGUGAGUUUUCUGUUGGCCUCCUUGUAGCUUCAGGUUAAAAGCAGCUUUAAAAGCAGCAGGAAUGCUGUGUUUAUUACUUUUUUUGGGUAAGGUUUUAAAUUAUUAUUUCAUUUUAUAAUGUAUAUCAAACAAAGAACAAUAAUAAUAAUAGACAAAAAUUAAAGGAACAACCAAAACUAUAAAACAGGCACAUAGAAUUAGUAGUUGCACGUCUUAGAAAUAACAAGUCUUUAUUGCUGUUGUCAAUGCAAUAGCAAGUUGUGAGAACAUAAGAGCCCUACUGCAUCAGGCCAAGUUUUUGAUUUUUGAACAGAUGUAGGCCAUCACAGUCCAGUGUAAAAGAAUAAUUAUAAAUAUUUCAAUGAACAAACAAAUGUAGAACAAUGCUCUGAAUUUACACAUCAGCUGCUAAUGCAGUAUCUUGGUCCUCAUGAUGGAUAUGGCAUUACAAUAUAAAGUUUGUAUUUCUAUUCUCACUUUGAAAAACUGCAUUUUAAAUUAUAGAGUUGUGUCCUCCACUUUUCUACCAAAUUUAAUUCUGAUAUCUGAUAUUAGAGGGUGUUACUGCAUUGUGAACAGACACACAAAUAGAAUGUGCUAUAGACAAAUUAAAGGCCACUUGCUCAGUAAUGUUAUUUGGGGAUGAAAUAGGAGAAUCAGGAAAUACUGAUCUAGCCUAUUCUGAUCCCACCAUAAUCCCACACUAUUCAUUAGUUGGGGGUAUGCUAUCCUGGAACCUUAAUUGUGGACCAAGGACAGAAAUUGUCAUCUUUCAGCCUUGGAAGGAAGUGACCAUGUCCUCUUGGGGUUCAUUAUGCAGAGGAAAGGGAAAGCCGAGUGUAAGCAGAUGUAUACUCUGGAAUUUAGGAAAGCUGAUUUCAAAAAGCUUAAGGAAAUGCUGGGUGUGAUCCCAUGGUCAAAAAUACUCAAAGAGAAGGGAGUUCACAAAGGAUGGGAGUUUCUGAAAGGUGAUAUAUUGAAUGCAGAAUUGCAAACAAUUACAACAAGAAAGAAAGUUUGGAGGUAUCUAAAGAAACCGGCGUAGCUAUAUAAUUAGUUUUUAGAUGACCUGAGAUUUAAAAGGGGAUUUUAUAAUAAGUGGAAGAAGUGGCAAAUCAUGAAGGAAGCAUAUAAAUGAGUAUCCAAAUCUUGCAGGGAAAAGAUCAGGCAGGCUAAAAUUCAGAAUGAGCUCAGGCUUGCAAGGGGUGAAAAAUAAUAAAAUGUGAAGCAAGAAGAAGAACAAGCAAUUAGGUCAGGCUUCCUCAACCUCGGCCCUCCAGAUGUUUUUGGGCUACAACUCCCAUGAUCCCUAGCUAGCAGGACCAGUGGUCAAGGAUGAUGGGAAUUGUAGUCUCAAAACAUCUGGAGGGCCAAGGCUGAGGAAGCCUGAAUUAGGUCCGCUGUGUUGAGAAGCUGGAGAAAUGCUGAGUGAUGACAGAGAGAAGGCAGAAGAACUGAAUACCUGCUUUGCCUCUGUCUUCACCUGAAAGGAAAACAGUCCCCAACUUGGUGAUAAUACAAUAAAUGAUGCAGGCAGGGAGCUGCAGCCCAAGAUAGGAAAAUAGGUGGUAAGGGAACACCCAGCUACUUUAAAUGAAUUUAAACCUCUAGGAACUGAUUAACUAUAUGCAAGGGUACUAAAAGAACUUGUAGAUGUAAUCUCAGAGCCCCUGCAAAUAAUCAUUGAGAAUUCUUAGAAAACAGAUAAGGUCUCUGUGGACUGAAGACGGGCAAAUCUUGUCCCCAUCUUUAAAAAUCGGGGGUGGGGAGAAGACCCUGGCAACUACUUGGUGUUGAUACUAAGAAAAGUUUUUGAACAGAUAAUGAAAUGGUGCAUGAUGGCUUAGAAAAGGAUACUGUGAUUUCUAAGAUUAUGAAUUUCUCAAAAGAAGUCAUGCCAAGCCAGUUCAUUUCUCUCUCUCCCUCUAGCGUUACAAGCUUCCUGGACCAGGGGAAUACUAUGGAUGUCGUGUUUGUUGAUUUCACUAAGACUUUCAACAAAGUCCCCUAUUUUCCCUUGGAGAAGCUGAUAAAAUGGAGGCAGUGGAAGACAGGAGUGCCUGGCGUGCUCUGGUCCAUGGGGUCACAAAGAGUUGGACACGACUAAACAACAACAAUACAUUGUUACUUUUAGGUGAAUUUGUAGAUGGUUGACUGAGCAAGCCAAAAAGUGUUCACCAGAGGUUCUGCAUCAUCCUGGGAAAAAGUGACAAAUGGAUGCUCAUCAAAUUUGCGGGUGACACCAAACUGGGUGGGGUAGCUAAUACCUCAGAAGAUAGGAUCAAGAUUCAAGAUAACCUUAACAGACUGGAGAACUGGGACCAAACUAACAAAAUGAAUUUCAAUAGGGACAAAUGUAAGGUUCUAAACUUAGGCAGGAAUAAUCGACUUGCACAAGUACAGAGUGGAGUACAGCUGACUUGCCUUGUGAAAAGGAUCUAGGGGUCUUUGUAGAGCACAAAUGUAACACGAGUCAACAGUGUGAUGCAGCAGCAAAAAAAAGUUAAUGGGUUUCUAGGUUGCAUCAAUAGAAGUCUAGUCCAGAUCCAGUAAUAGUCCUGCUCUAUUCUGCCUUGGUCAGACCACACCUGCAAUACUGUGUCCAGUUCUGGGCACCACAGUUUAAGAAGGAUCUCGUCAAGCUAGAACAUACGCAGAGAAGGGCAACCAAGAUGAUCAAGGGUCUGGAAACCAAGCCUUAUGAGGAACAGUUGAGGGAGUUGUGUGUUUUGAGAAGACUCUGAGGUGGUAAGAUGCCUAUCGUCAAAUACCUGAUGGGUUGUCACAUGGAAGAUGACGCAAGCUUGAUUUUCCCUACUCCAGAGGGUAGGACUGGAACUGAUGGCUUCAACUUUCAAGAAAGGAGGUUCCAAGUAAAUAUUAGGAAGAACUUUCUGAGGGUAUGAGCUGUUUGACAGUGGGAACAGACUACCUUAAAAGGUGGUGAACUCCCUUUCAUUUGAUGUCUUUAAAGAGAAGUUGGCCAUCUGUCUGGGAUUAUUUAGCUGUGAUUCCUGCAUUGCAGAGGAUUGAACUAGAUGAUCCUUGAGGUCCUUUCCAACUUUACAAUUCUAUGAUCUGUCAACGAUCGCUCAAGUCCAAGAACUGAUUACAGAAAGUUAGACUAGAUUAUCAUUGAAUGCUUCUUGAAACUGUUCAGUUGUGGCAGACCUAACACUAAUUGCUUCUGAGUAUCGGUGAUAAAGAGGGUGGAUUUAACUACAGAAUGAUGAUUCACCAUGGUGACUAACAAUCCAGAAGCCUGACCAGGAAAUCAAGUCAUAAUUUUCACCUGCCUUUAAAGACGUAUUUACAGUAAUAAAUUAUGUGCAAAUUGUCUCCAAACCUUUCUUAAAUGAUCCAGCAGUCAGACAAUGGAACUUACUACAAAAGGGUCUGAAUGUGGAUAAAAUUUUGGCAUAAAUGCAAUAUAUUAAUAGUAGAUUCCAAGUCUGUUCACAGCCCCUACAGCCUGAGACUACUUUGUGGAAGCAUGAUUUAGACAUGAAAUAUUUACACACCAACUCCAAACAGAACCAACUGAUAAACAUUUAAUUUUUGUUAGGUGACUUUAAAAAUAUGCUUCACAAAUUGAAACCUCAGUUCAAUUUAUUCAUUGCCAGGAGGCUUGUACCGCAGUGGGUUUAAAUAAGUUGUUUCAGGAUCUAUAUAAUAUAUUUUACUGGGUCACUUAGCACUGAAGACCAUAGGAAGCUUUUUUAUUUCAUGAAGUUCUUUGCAACUUAGAAGCUUGCCACUUUUACCAAAAUAAUUGUUUCAAUAAAAAUUGAGACAUAUAAUUUUAACUAUAUUAAGUUUGAUAACUGAGGCCAGGAGAACAGCUAUACACAAAACAGAUACAGUUUUUGUAUAAUGGGAAAUUACAAGGGAGUAUUGGGUUUUCCCCCCAAAUGCCUAUUUAAAAACUCAAUGUGAAAAAAAAAUUGAUGGAAUUCUCACCCCUGUUCACAGAUGGUGACACCAAACUACAAAAGUGACUUGAAUGUUGAUAUUUUACCUCUAGAAACACCUGCUCCAAUCCUGCCCAAAUGAAAGCUCAUUAUAUCUAUUGUAUAAACAAGGAGAUAAAUGCCUACUUGAGAACUGGUGAGUCAAAAUGAACUUCAACAAAUCAGCUCUUCUUCCAAUAUCGUACUAUAGCUUGCCUUUUCUUCCCUCAUCUGAAACUAGGAGGUGGCUGAGCUAGUAUUUGAAUUUGAACGACAGAAGUAUGCCCUGAACAUGCGUAUCAGAUUUUAUUUCAGUGCCACAUGAUAGCCAGCAGAAUGUGCAACUGGUCCACAGCUCUCUUGAAGACAAUUAAGUUUUCAGUGAACCAAAAUCUAGGUUUUCAAAAGUUUCCAGUGUUACGGAAAUGACAGGGGUGGGGCACAUCUUUAAAGUUGUUACAAUGUUACAAAUAUUAUGUCAAUGUAUCUUUUUAACUUGACAGCUCAGGAAAGAUACCUAGUUUUAUAAAUUCAUAUAAAAUCAGUAUUUUGACCGAUUCUCUUCAUUCCAAUGCCAUUUUGGCGUUAGAGGAAAGGACUCCUUUACCUUUCUCUCCUGCCAUAAUCCCUCAAGCGUGAGGGCACAUACACAACACCCUGGGUGCUCUUAUACAACAAACUACAAGAAGGAAGAUAAACAAACUGGACUUUUUUUGAAGUAAGGAAAGUUAUACAAAAAAAUGCACAGGGAAGUGGUGGGAUUACAGUUGCAGCAUCAUAUAACUCCCAGCCAAAAAUAAAUUGGGACACUCUGAACAACAAGCAACACGCCAGCUAAUAAUAUACUGACAAUAUUUUUAUAACACUAUACUGUUUCAAAAUUCAUAAACAGAAGACAUAUAAUAUGUGCAUGGAGUCACAAACUAAUAAGAAUCAAAUAAAUGUUCCAUGAACAGGAAUGGUAGGAGUGGUAGGUUGCUGUCAAAGAUCACUGAAAUGGAGGCAAAAUGCCUUUCCACAGUCAACAUCCUACAAACGUGAGAUGCUGGGUGAUGCAAACUUCGCAAUAGGGUGCUCCAAGCACAGCAGCAGACUACACUUCUUCCAGGAUAAUGAACUGUUUCAAUGAUAAAUCUUCACCAGCAAAUUAAUAGUCCCCGAAGUACAUCAAAU